CUUGGUCAUUUAGAGGAAGUAAAAGUCGUAACAAGGUCUCCGCUGGUGAACCAGCGGAGGGAUCAUUAUAGAGUUAUUCAACUCCCAACCCAUGUGAACUUACCUAUGUUGCCUCGGCGGGGAAGCUUACCCGGUACCUACCCUGUAGUUACCCGGGAGCGAGCUACCCUGUAGCCCGCUGCUGGCCGACCCGCCGGUGGACAGUAAAACUCUUGUUUUUAGUGAUUAUCUGAGUGUUUAUACUUAAUAAGUUAAAACUUUCAACAACGGAUCUCUUGGUUCUGGCAUCGAUGAAGAACGCAGCGAAAUGCGAUAAGUAAUGUGAAUUGCAGAAUUCCAGUGAAUCAUCGAAUCUUUGAACGCACAUUGCGCCCAUUAGUAUUCUAGUGGGCAUGCCUGUUCGAGCGUCAUUUCAACCCUCAAGCCCUAGUUGCUUGGUGUUGGGAGCUUGCUAUUCGCAACUCCUUAAAGCUAUUGGCGGAGUCGUGUUGGCCCCAAGCGUAGUAAUUUUUCUCGCUUCAGGUGUCCCAGCGCUGGCGUCCAGCCGUAAAACCCCUAAUUUUCUAGUGGUUGACCUCGGAUCAGGUAGGAAUACCCGCUGAACUUAAGCAUAUCAAUAAGCGGAGGA
rnacentral:rRNA from 1 species